GACGAACGCUGGCGGCGUGCCUAAUACAUGCAAGUUGAGCGAUGAAGAUUGGUGCUUGCACCAAUUUGAAGAGCAGCGAACGGGUGAGUAACGCGUGGGGAAUCUGCCUUUGAGCGGGGGACAACAUUUGGAAACGAAUGCUAAUACCGCAUAACAACUUUAAACAUAAGUUUUAAGUUUGAAAGAUGCAAUUGCAUCACUCAAAGAUGAUCCCGCGUUGUAUUAGCUAGUUGGUGAGGUAAAGGCUCACCAAGGCGAUGAUACAUAGCCGACCUGAGAGGGUGAUCGGCCACAUUGGGACUGAGACACGGCCCAAACUCCUACGGGAGGCAGCAGUAGGGAAUCUUCGGCAAUGGACCAAAGUCUGGCCGAGCAACGCCGCGUGAGUGAAGAAGGUUUUCGGAUCGUAAAACUCUGUUGGUAGAGAAGAACGUUGGUGAGAGUGGAAAGCUCAUCAAGUGACGGUAACUACCCAGAAAGGGACGGCUAACUACGUG
rnacentral:rRNA from 1 species